UCAGAUUGCUUGCCAAACGCCUUUGUGGUUUCCCGGACAGUAAGGGGCGAUAUGAACUAAAGACAUCCAAUUCACCGAGAAGAAGAAUAAGUACAAGCACAACAACAGUACCACAUCCGGUUAAAUGAGCACGUUUUUCCGCUGUCCACAAGCCCUGUUCUCAAUUCGUCAGAUUACUGGGCCAAAGGCGCAGCUGCCAGACUCGGAGGACAUGCGGAAGGGACGCCAACCUGCAUUUGGACACGUAGUAGACAAUCACAAAAGCAGAGGAAAAAGUUGCAAGUUGGAUGGCAG